AGCAGCCGCGGUAAUUCCAGCUCCAAUAGCGUAUAUUAAAGUUGUUGUAGUUAAAAAGCUCGUAGUUGAGUUUCGGGGUCAGUAGGUUGGUCGUGCCACCGGUACGUACUGGUCUCACUGAUUCCUCCUUCCUGAAGAACCGUAAUGCCAUUAAUUUGGUGUUGCGGGGAAACGGGACUGUUACUUUGAAAAAAUUAGAGUGUUUAAAGCAGGCUAACGCUUGAAUACAUUAGCAUGGAAUAAUGAGAUAGGACGUUCGAUCUUAUUUUGUUGGUUUCUAAGAUUGACGUAAUGAUUAAUAGGGAUAGUUGGGGGCAUUAGUAUUCAAUUGUCAGAGGUGAAAUUCUUGGAUUUAUUGAAGACUAACUACUGCGAAAGCAUUUGCCAAGGAUGUUUUCAUUAAUCAAGAACGAAAGUUAGGGGAUCGAAGACGAUCAGAUACCGUCGUAGUCUUAACCAUAAACUAUGCCGACUAGGGAUCGGAUGAUGUUAAUUUUUUAAUGACUCAUUCGGCGCCUUA
rnacentral:rRNA from 1 species